AACACUCACUAAUGAUCCGAUGGA
rnacentral:siRNA from 1 species